rnacentral:tRNA from 1 species
GGGCGAUUAGCUCAGCUGGCAGAGCACUGUGUUCACAUCGCAGGGGUCGCUGGUUCGAGCCCAGCAUCGCCCACCA